rnacentral:rRNA from 1 species
GUGAGGAAUAUUGCGCAAUGGAGGCAACUCUGACGCAGCCAUGCCGCGUGCAGGAAGAAGGCGCUACGCGUUGUAAACUGCUUUUAACCGGGAAGAAACCCCAGGACGUGUCCUGGGUUGACGGUACCGGAGGAAUAAGCACCGGCUAACUUCGUGCCAGCAGCCGCGGUAAUACGAAGGGUGCAAGCGUUAUCCGGAUUCAUUGGGUUUAAAGGGUGCGUAGGCGGAGCGUUAAGUCAGUGGUGAAAUCCUGCAGCUUAACUGUAGACUUGCCAUUGAUACUGGCGCUCUUGAGUGCGCUUGAAGUGGGCGGAAUGUGCCGUGUAGCGGUGAAAUGCUUAGAUAUGGCACAGAACACCAAUUGCGAAGGCAGCUCACUAAGGCGAUACUGACGCUGAGGCACGAAAGCGUGGGGAUCAAACAGGAUUAGAAACCCUGGUAGUCC